AGUGAACGCUGGCGGCGUGCCUAACACAUGCAAGUCGUGCGCGAAAGGGAGCAAUCCUGAGUAAAGCGGCGAACGGGUGAGUAACACGUGGUUAACCUGCCUGGAUGUGGGGGAUACCCCGGGGAAACUCGGGACAAUACCGCAUGAUGUCUCUCGGGCGUCGGCCCGGGAGAGCAAAGCCGGGGACCGCAAGGCCUGGCGCAUCCGGAGGGGACCGCGGCCGAUUAGCUAGUUGGCGGGGUAAUGGCCCACCAAGGCGACGAUCGGUAGCCGGCCUGAGAGGGUGAUCGGCCACACCGGAACUGAGACACGGUCCGGACUCCUACGGGAGGCAGCAGUGGGGAAUUUGCGCAAUGGGCGAAAGCCUGACGCAGCAACGCCGCGUGGAGGAUGAAGGUGCUCAGCAUUGUAAACUCCUGUCGGCCGGGAAGAAUCGGCGGGGUGCUAAUCAGCCCCGUCUUGACUGUACCGGCAAAGGAAGCCCGGCUAACUCCGUGCCAGCAGCCGCGGU
rnacentral:rRNA from 1 species